AUUUUAACGCUGGCGGCAGGCCUAACUNAUGCAAGUCGCUCGGAAACGAAGAGGUGCUUGCACCUCUGGCGUCGAGCGGCGGACGGGUGAGUAAUGCUUGGGAAUAUGCCUUAUGGUGGGGGACAACAGUUGGAAACGACUGCUAAUACCGCAUGAUGUCUACGGACCAAAGUGGGGGACCUUCGGGCCUCACGCCAUAAGAUUAGCCCAAGUGGGAUUAGCUAGUUGGUGAGGUAAUGGCUCACCAAGGCAACGAUCCCUAGCUGGUUUGAGAGGAUGAUCAGCCACACUGGGACUGAGACACGGCCCAGACUCCUACGGGAGGCAGCAGUGGGGAAUAUUGCACAAUGGGCGCAAGCCUGAUGCAGCCAUGCCGCGUGUGUGAAGAAGGCCUUCGGGUUGUAAAGCACUUUCAGUAAGGAGGAAAGGUUAAGUGUUAAUAGCACUUAGCUGUGACGUUACUUACAGAAGAAGCACCGGCUAACUCCGUGCCAGCAGCCGCGGGUAAUA
rnacentral:rRNA from 1 species